UACGUAGGGUGCGAGCGUUGUCCGGAAUUACUGGGCGUAAAGAGCUCGUAGGCGGUCUGUCGCGUCUGCUGUGAAAACCCGGGGCUCAACUCCGGGCUUGCAGUCGAUACGGGCAGGCUAGAGUUCGGUAGGGGAGACUGGAAUUCCUGGUGUAGCGGUGAAAUGCGCAGAUAUCAGGAGGAACACCGGUGGCGAAGGCGGGUCUCUGGGCCGAUACUGACGCUGAGGAGCGAAAGCGUGGGGGAGCGAACAGG
rnacentral:rRNA from 1 species